rnacentral:rRNA from 1 species
UACGGAGGGAGCUAGCGUUGUUCGGAAUUACUGGGCGUAAAGCGCGCGUAGGCGGCUUUGUAAGUUAGAGGUGAAAGCCCGGAGCUCAACUCCGGAACUGCCUUUAAAACUGCAUCGCUUGAAUCCAGGAGAGGUGAGUGGAAUUACCGAGUGUAGAGGUGAAAUUCGUAGAUAUUCGGAAGAACACCAGUGGCGAAGGCGGCUCACUGGACUGG